AUGAAGUCCGUUCUGUUCAGCCGCUUCUUCAUCCUCCUGCCUUGGAUCCUAAUCGUCAUCAUCAUGCUCGACGUGGACACGCGCAGGCCGGCGCCCCCGCUCACCCCGCGCCCCUACUUUUCUCCCUACGUGAUGGGCCGCGGGGGCGCCCGACUGCCGCUCCGCAGGGUUGGUCCCGACAGCGGCCCCGGGCGCCGCUGGGUGAAGCGCAACGAGUCGCGGCCACAGCCACAGCCGCGGCCGGAGCCGCCUCUGCCCACCAUCUAUGCCAUCACGCCCACCUACAGCCGCCCGGUGCAGAAAGCCGAGCUGACCCGCCUGGCCAACACUUUCCGCCAGGUGGCGCAGCUGCACUGGAUCCUGGUGGAGGACGCGGCGGCGCGCAGCGAGCUGGUGAGCCGCUUCCUGGCGCGGGCCGGGCUGCCCAGCACGCACCUGCACGUGCCCACGCCGCGGCGCUACAAGAGGCCGGGACUGCCGCGCGCCACGGAGCAGCGCAACGCGGGUCUCGCCUGGUUGCGCCAGAGGCACCAGCACCAGCGCGCGCAGCCCGGCGUGCUCUUUUUCGCCGACGACGACAACACCUACAGUCUGGAGCUGUUCCAGGAGAUGCGAACUACACGCAAGGUCUCUGUCUGGCCAGUGGGCCUGGUUGGCGGGCGACGCUAUGAACGUCCGUUGGUGGAAAACGGCAAAGUCGUUGGUUGGUACACCGGCUGGAGAGCAGACAGGCCUUUUGCCAUCGACAUGGCAGGAUUUGCUGUCAGUCUUCAAGUCAUCUUGUCCAAUCCAAAAGCCGUAUUUAAGCGUCGUGGAUCCCAGCCAGGGAUGCAAGAAUCUGAUUUUCUAAAACAGAUAACAACAGUUGAAGAGCUGGAACCAAAAGCAAAUAACUGCACCAAGGUUCUCGUGUGGCACACUCGGACAGAGAAGGUUAAUCUAGCCAACGAGCCAAAGUACCACCUGGACACGGUGAAAAUUGAGGUGUAAAUUGAAGAAACUGAAGCAGCAACUGGUGCAGUUUGCCUGGCUGGUGGACGUGGGAGAGGACGUUUGGAGGUCAGGCUGCCAAACAUUCAGUUCUUUGUACAGUACAGCUAGUGACACUGCGGGAUACACUGUGAGUAUCUUGUGUACUUUUUUUUUUUUUUUUCCCAUUUGGCCUUAUAAUUGGUGGAACUGGUUUCAGAAACAAAG